CGGCGAGUAGCGCAGCUUGGUAGCGCACUUGGUUUGGGUCCAAGGGGUCGCUGGUUCGAAUCCAGUCUCGCCGACCA
rnacentral:tRNA from 12 species